rnacentral:lncRNA from 1 species
AGUUCUCCGACCAACUUGUUGGAGCUCAAGUCCAAACUGAUCGUCAGGCUUGUCAAGGAACCGAUCUCGGGAGGAAUAGGACCUGAGAGGCUAUUACCACUCAUAUCGAGCAAGGUCAGCUUCUGCAGGUUCUUUAUAGAUGUUGGUAAUAACCCAGUUAGCAGAUUAUUGUUCAGGAUGAGCUUAUUCAAGUAGCUGAAAUUACCGAAACUUGCAGGAAUUUCUCCAGUGAAGCUGUUCUCACUAAGGUCGAGCUGUUCUAAGUUCAUCAGCUCUCCUAAUUGAGGAGGGAUUUCUCCGGUGAUGUGAUUAUUGUGGACGUCCAGAAGCUCCAAGACCGUGAUGUUCGCAAUCUCGGAAGGUAAUUUCCCAGAGAAAUGAUUAGUAUAAAGAUCCAGAAACACAAGAUUUUGCAGCUUACCGAUCUCCUUUGGGAUUUCACCAGAAAGCUGGUUCUCUCCAAGCCUCAAUCUAACUAAAGAUUGACAGUUUGCAACACUUGGUGGCAACCUUCCUGUCAAAGAAUUCCCCAGCAGAAGCAGCUUGCUG